rnacentral:rRNA from 1 species
AUUGAACGCUGGCGGCAGGCCUAACACAUGCAAGUCGAGCGGUUGAAGGGAGCUUGCUCCCUGAUUCAGCGGCGGACGGGUGAGUAAUGCCUAGGAAUCUGCCUAUUAGUGGGGGACAACGUUUCGAAAGGAACGCUAAUACCGCAUACGUCCUACGGGAGAAAGCAGGGGACCUUCGGGCCUUGCGCUAAUAGAUGAGCCUAGGUCGGAUUAGCUUGUUGGUGAGGUAAUGGGUCACCAAGGCGACGAUCCGUAACUGGUAUGGGGGGAUGAUCAGUCACACUGGAACUGAGACACGGUCCAGACUCCUACGGGAGGCAGCAGUGGGGAAUAUUGGACAAUGGGCGAAAGCCUGAUCCAGCCAUGCCGCGUGUGUGAAGAAGGUCUUCGGAUUGUAAAGCACUUUAAGUUGGGAGGAAGGGUUGUAGAUUAAUACUCUGCAAUUUUGACGUUACCGACAGAAUAAGCACCGGCUAACUCUGUGCCAGCCGCCGCGGUAA